rnacentral:rRNA from 1 species
CCUACGGGAGGCAGCAGUAGGGAAUAUUGCUCAAUGGGGGAAACCCUGAAGCAGCAACGCCGCGUGGAGGAUGAAGGUUUUCGGAUUGUAAACUCCUUUUGUUAGAGAAGAUAAUGACGGUAUCUAACGAAUAAGCACCGGCUAACUCCGUGCCAGCAGCCGCGGUAAUACGGAGGGUGCAAGCGUUACUCGGAAUAAUUGGGCGUAAAGAGCGCGUAGGCGGGAUAGCAAGUCAGAUGUGAAAGCCUAGGGCUUAACCAUAGAACUGCAUUUGAAACUGUUAUUCUAGAGUAUGGGAGAGGUAGGUGGAAUUCUUGGUGUAGGGGUAAAAUCCGUAGAGAUCAAGAGGAAUACUCAUUGCGAAGGCGACCUGCUAGAACAUAACUGACGCUGAUGCGCGAAAGCGUGGGGAGCAAACAGGAUUAGAUACCCUUGUAGUC